rnacentral:rRNA from 1 species
AGCUUGUUGGUGAGGUAAUGGCUCACCAAGGCGACGACGGGUAGCCGGCCUGAGAGGGUGACCGGCCACACUGGGACUGAGACACGGCCCAGACUCCUACGGGAGGCAGCAGUGGGGAAUAUUGCACAAUGGGCGCAAGCCUGAUGCAGCGACGCCGCGUGAGGGAUGACGGCCUUCGGGUUGUAAACCUCUUUCAGUAGGGAAGAAGCGAAAGUGACGGUACCUGCAGAAGAAGCGCCGGCUAACUACGUGCCAGCAGCCGCGGUAAUACGUAGGGCGCAAGCGUUAUCCGGAAUUAUUGGGCGUAAAGAGCUCGUAGGCGGUUUGUCGCGUCUGCCGUGAAAGUCCGGGGCUCAACUCCGGAUCUGCGGUGGGUACGGACAGACUAGAGUGAUGUAGGGGAGACUGGAAUUCCUGGUGUAGCGGUGGAAUGCGCAGAUAUCAGGAGGAACACCGGUGGCGAAGGCGGGUCUCUGGGCAGUAACUGACGCUGAGGAGCGAAAGCGUGGGGAGCGAACAGGAUUAGAUACCCUGGUAGUCCACGCCGUAAACGGUG